rnacentral:rRNA from 1 species
AACGAACGCUGGCGGCAUGCCUAACACAUGCAAGUCGAACGAGACCUUCGGGUCUAGUGGCGCACGGGUGCGUAACGCGUGGGAACCUGCCCUUAGGUUCGGAAUAACUCCCCGAAAGGGGUGCUAAUACCGGAUAAUGUCUUCGGACCAAAGAUUUAUCGCCUUUGGAUGGGCCCGCGUUGGAUUAGCUAGUUGGUAGGGUAAAAGCCUACCAAGGCGACGAUCCAUAGCUGGUCUGAGAGGAUGAUCAGCCACACUGGGACUGAGACACGGCCCAGACUCCUACGGGAGGCAGGAGUGGGGAAUAUUGGACAAUGGGCGAAAGGCUGAUCCAGCAAUGCCGCGUGAGUGAUGAAGGCCUUAGGGUUGUAAAGCUCUUUUACCCGGGAUGAUAAUGACAGUACCGGGAGAAUAAGCUCCGGCUAACUCCGUG